rnacentral:rRNA from 1 species
GCUAAGCCUGGGCCGGCGGGGCGGGGAAUACAGGGGGGGCAAGCGUUGGUCGGAAUUACGGGGCGUAAAGGGCGCGUAGGGGGUGCUCUAAGUCCCGUGUGAAAUCCCCCGGCUCAACUGGGGAAUGGCACGGGAAACUGGAGUGCUUGAGUUCGGGAGAGGGAAGCGGAAUUCCGGGUGUAGCGGUGAAAUGCGUAGAUAUCCGGAGGAACACCGGUGGCGAAGGCGGCUUCCUGGACCGACACUGACGCUGAGGCGCGAAAGCUAGGGGAGCAAACGGGAUUAGAUACCCGAGUAGUC